rnacentral:rRNA from 1 species
AUUGAACGCUGGCGGCAUGCUUUACACAUGCAAGUCGAACGGUAACAGGCCGCAAGGUGCUGACGAGUGGCGAACGGGUGAGUAAUGCAUCGGAACGUGCCCAGUCGUGGGGGAUAACGCAGCGAAAGCUGUGCUAAUACCGCAUACGAUCUAUGGAUGAAAGCGGGGGACCGUAAGGCCUCGCGCGAUUGGAGCGGCCGAUGUCAGAUUAGGUAGUUGGUGGGGUAAAGGCCUACCAAGCCGACGAUCUGUAGCUGGUCUGAGAGAACGACCAGCCACACUGGGACUGAGACACGGCCCAGACUCCUACGGGAGGCAGCAGUGGGGAAUUUUGGACAAUGGGCGCAAGCCUGAUCCAGCAAUGCCGCGUGCAGGAAGAAGGCCUUCGGGUUGUAAACUGCUUUUGUACGGAACGAAACGGUCUGGGUUAAUACCCUGGGCUAAUGACGGUACCGUAUGAAUAAGCACCGGCUAACUACGUGCCAGCCGCCGCGGUAAGAC